rnacentral:rRNA from 1 species
UACGUAGGGUGCAAGCGUUAAUCGGAAUUACUGGGCGUAAAGCGUGCGCAGGCGGCUUUGCAAGACAGAUGUGAAAUCCCCGGGCUUAACCUGGGAACUGCAUUUGUGACUGCAUGGCUCGAGUGCGGCAGAGGGGGAUGGAAUUCCGCGUGUAGCAGUGAAAUGCGUAGAUAUGCGGAGGAACACCGAUGGCGAAGGCAAUCCCCUGGACCUGUACUGACGCUCAUGCACGAAAGCGUGGGGAGCAAACAGG